GACCAUUCCGGUGGCUUAAGUGGUCAAAGCGUCCGCCUCUGAUGCAGGAUGUCAUGUGUUCGAACCCCGGCUGAGUCA